CAUUUUUAGAUUUAAUUAAAAAUAACCUCUGCUCAAUGAAAAUUUAAAUAGCCGCAGAAUUUUUACUGUGCUAAGGUAGCAUAAUCAAUUGUCUUUUAAUUAAAGAAUAGAAUGAAAGAUAAAACGAAUUUUAAUUUUUUUAUAAAAUUUACAAUAAAAUUGUAUUAUUAGUUAAAAUACUAAUAAAAUAAGAAAGACGAAAAGACCCUAUCGAACUUUACUACUGUUUAGCUGGGGAAGCUCAAUAAAAAAACCUUUUUGUUUUACCAAAAAUCCCUAAGAAGUUUUAUCUAGUUACCGUAGGGAUAACAGCAUAAUAAAUUUUUAUAGUUCUUAUUUAAAAAAAUGUUUAUGACCUCGAUGUUGAAUAAUUUUCUUAUACAAAGCAAAAUUUUAUAAAGAAAGUCUGUUCGACUUUUAAAUUUUUACA
rnacentral:rRNA from 1 species